rnacentral:rRNA from 1 species
UAGGGAAUCUUCCGCAAUGGACGCAAGUCUGACGGAGCAACGCCGCGUGAGUGAAGAAGGAUUUCGGUUCGUAAAACUCUGUUGUUAGAGAAGAACAGCGCAUAGAGUAACUGUUAUGCGUGUGACGGUAUCUAACCAGAAAGCCACGGCUAACUACGUGCCAGCAGCCGCGGUAAUACGUAGGUGGCAAGCGUUGUCCGGAUUUAUUGGGCGUAAAGCGAGCGCAGGCGGUCAAUUAAGUCUGAUGUGAAAGCCCCCGGCUCAACCGGGGAGGGUCAUUGGAAACUGGUUGACUUGAGUGCAGAAGGGGAGAGUGGAAUUCCAUGUGUAGCGGUGAAAUGCGUAGGUAUAUGGAGGAACACCAGUGGCGAAGGCGACUCUCUGGUCUGUAACUGACGCUGAGGCUCGAAAGCGUGGGUAGCAAACAGG